GUUUGGAAUAUUGCACAAUGGAGGAAACUCUGAUGCAGCGACGCCGCGUGGAGGACGAAGGAUCUAGGUCUGUAAACUCCUUUUGCUGGGAAAGACUUAGGACGGUACCCAGCGAAUAAGCCCCGGCUAACUACGUGCCAGCAGCCGCGGUAAGACGUAGGGGGCGAGCGUUGUCCGGAUUUACUGGGCGUAAAGGGCGCGUAGGCGGCUCGUUAAGUGUGAAGUGAAAUCUCCAGGGCUCAACCCGGAAACUGCUUCGCAUACUGGCGAGCUUGAGGAACGCAGAGGUGACUGGAAUUCCCGGUGUAGCGGUGAAAUGCAUUGAUAUCGGGAGGAACUCCAACAGCGAAGGCAGGUCACUGGGCGUUAUCUGACGCUGAGGCGCGAAAGCGUGGGUAGCAAACAGGAUUAGAAACCCUAGUAGUCC
rnacentral:rRNA from 1 species